UUAAUAUAUAGUUAAUUACAGCUUUUUCAUAUUAUUUUUUUCGCAGGUAGAAAAUUUCUUAACAGAAAAAUUGAGUUGGACUAAAGAUGGACCAAGAUUUCGUAUUAUUAUUUAAUUUAAAAAUAUCCAAGAGCAAAAAAUAUAGAAAGGUCAAUCCAUCCGCAAGGGUUUGUGAUGAAAGCGUGUCGCGCUCGUGCAAACGAUUAAUUCUAUUCCCAGUGGUAUGAAACUUGCGGUGAGCUCCAUUAUUACAGCAAACAUAGUAUUUUCCACGGUGGAAAAUCCCUUAGGAGGUAUUUUUCACGGAACUAUGUAGGUACCAGAAACAUUAAUAAUUCAGAGAAAGCCAUCGUCGACUGCGACAUUUUUAACUAGGCUUUUAAAACACUACUUGUAUCUCAAUAUUUUUCACGUUCAUAUUUUUCUAUAAAAAUUUGAUAAAAUUUGUCUCGGAAAUUAUAUUAUUCUAUCCUUACAGAUAAUUCAAUAAAUUCAAUAAUUAGAUCUAUUUAAAUUGCAUCGAGACUGCGAAUAGAAAUCUUGUAUGCAAAUUACUAUGAGUAGGUGGUCUUCUCAUUUCGUAUUCGAUAAUUCGAAGAAUGACAAACAAAUCAUUAGUGAAAUAUUCGAUAUCGUCAGCCUAGCGAUGUUUCAGUGAAUCGACCAAAUUUCACUUUUCAGAGAGCCUUAAUUUCCAUAAAAGGAAAUUCUGAAGCUUGACAUCGAUUUCAAGGUGCAUUUCUCAAAGAUGGGGCUUCGGAAACCCUUGAAUAUACCUGUCUAAUGAAAUGUAACAGAAAUCUACACAAUAUUAGGGUGAAAAUCAUGAGGUUAACGUGGUUGUUUUGUUAUGCUAAUAUAACGUGGCUUGACAUCGUGUUUCAAUUGAUUUUUCUUCGCGGGUAACGUACAAUAGUAUAAAUAGUCUCUCCAAUGUGGAAUUAUCUUCUAUUUCCUUGAAUUUCGAAUAAGGAGAUUUAUGAAAUUUACUCAGGUCUUUAAGAUGCUGAAGUUACUUGAAGGAAUUCGUUGCGAUACCGUAAUGGAGAUAAUUAUUAAAACAGAAUUGUAAUGGACACAAAGCAUGGGUGUAAAAAUUAAAGAGACGUGAAAAACAAUUCUCUAAAAUGUUUUGAAAAGAGCACACAGAGUAUUUUUUUAUCCUCGUUUAAUCUACAAUCUAUUAAAAAAUAAAAAUAAACAAUGUCAAACAGUAUUGGUACACUUACAGCAAACGAACGAAAUGUACAGAGAUAAAAUGAAAUGACUCCAUUCGACGCUGCAGACAUUCGACAAAAAUUCACUGGCAUCGUUUGGAUAAUUAAAUAUCUUAAAUAUUUUUUUCUUUGUCUAAGCACAUAAGGUGAAGUUCGAGCACCAAUGAGAGGAACAUUUUUUCCAUUUCUCGCGUGGUCAGAAAUCUUCAACCAAGUCGUGAUUAUGAGUGGAUUUCACUAAAGAAAUAAAAAAUACUCGGUAUAACAGUUUGCAAUAGAAGAAAAAUUAUAUAGCAAUGUAAUAUAAUACUUCCUUGACACAGAACAAUCAAAAUUAUAGGGUGGUUCGAAUCGUUUGUUUGAUUACUCUUUACAGAAAGAAAGAAUUUUUUAAUUGGAAAUUAAAAUUAUACAUAUCUUUACUCAAAUUCUCCUUAUUUAAAAUGUAACAAACACUAUUUAACCAAAAUUAACAAACAAGAAUAAUGAAAGAGUGAGCUAAUUUUCAAGCGAUUAUAUUUUGAUACUGAGGAUAUUAUCGAAUAAUAAGAUCAAUAUCAGGCAAUGAUUAUUUCGAUUUGUAUCCACUGCAUGCCAUUCUGUGCAACGUAGCAAAUUGGAAAAGCACUUCACUAGAAAAUUCGUGGAAAGCAUCGAGCUAGGAUUGAAAAUCAAUGCGCUGGUUUAUUGCUCACUCCAAUUUCGGUGCGUCUUCUUCGAGGAAUCCAAUGAUCUUUGUAAUAACCACGGAGUCUGUUCUCGCGAAAUUCGUGGUUUUCCCUGUCAUGACCAUACUAGGACUAUGCUCGAACUUAUCUUGGUACCAUAACCGAGGUUUAUGCGCCUCCGUUACCUCGCCAGCUCCCGCAUUCGUGAUACUUGCUCGCUGACUGCGCUUCAUAACAGAGACGAUGCGUUUUACUAUUAUUGGUUCUAUUUUUUGCUUUUCCUCUCUUCUUUUUUAAACUAUCCAGUUCCAAGAACAACUAAAAAAUAGUCUCGUUAUCGUUAACAUAUCAAUAUUCGUUACAGCAAUACUUAUGUACAAUUUGAUCUCGAUGUAAUCUGAUAUGGAUAUUUUUUGGAAAUUUAGACAGUUUUUAAAAUCGUUGGAACCAUAUAUAGAGUAGAUAGAGAGAGAUGAGAAAAUGAAUACAGCGUUUUUCAACUUUUACCUAAAAUAUUGAAAUAUGAUCCGAAUAACAAAUUUAUUUACAAGCUAUCAAACUGCUUGAAGCAAUCUCUGAUGACUGUGAUUCAGUUAACACAAGGUAAAUAAAUAAAUUAAAAUACGCUUUAAAAAUGGAAAUAAUAUUUGCUGC